UACGUAGGGACCGAGCGUUGUCCGGAUUCAUUGGGCGUAAAGAGCGCGCAGGCGGCUUGGUAAGUCGGAUGUGAAAUCCCGAGGCUCAACCUCGGGUCUGCAUCCGAUACUGCCCGGCUAGAGGUAGGUAGGGGAGAUCGGAAUUCCUGGUGUAGCGGUGAAAUGCGCAGAUAUCAGGAGGAACACCGGUGGCGAAGGCGGAUCUCUGGGCCUUACCUGACGCUCAGGCGCGAAAGCUAGGGGAGCGAACUGG
rnacentral:rRNA from 1 species